GCCCUCUUAGUUAAAUGGAUAUAACAAGUCCCUCCUAAGGAUUAGUUAUCAGUUCGAUUCUGGUAGAGGGUG
rnacentral:tRNA from 1 species